GACGAACGCUGGCGGCGUGCCUAGUACAUGCAAGUAGAACGCACAGUUUAUACCGUAGCUUGCUACACCAUAGACUGUGAGUUGCGAACGGGUGAGUAACGCGUAGGUAACCUGCCUGGUAGCGGGGGAUAACUAUUGGAAACGAUAGCUAAUACCGCAUAAUAUUAAUUAUUGCAUGAUAAUUAAUUGAAAGGUGCAAUUGCACCACUACCAGAUGGACCUGCGUUGUAUUAGCUAGUAGGUGAGGUAACGGCUCACCUAGGCGACGAUACAUAGCCGACCUGGGAGGGUGAUCGGCCACACUGGGACUGAGACACGGCCCAGACUCCUAAGGGAGGCAGCAGUAGGGAAUCUUCGGCAAUGGACGAAAGUCUGACCGAGCAACGCCGCGUGAGUGAAGAAGGGUUUCGGAUCGUAAAGCUCGGUUGUAAGAGAAGAACGGGUGUGAGAGUGGAAAGUUCACACUGUGACGGUAGCUUACCAGAAAGGGACGGCUAACUACGUG
rnacentral:rRNA from 1 species